rnacentral:misc_RNA from 1 species
UCCGCUUUACAGCGGCAGUUUGUUCCGAGUCCCCGACUUUACUCGCUGGUAACAGAACAUGAGGGUUGCGCUCGUUGCGGGACUUAACCCAACAUUUCACGGCACGAGCUGACGACAGCCAUGCACCACCUGUGAAGGUGCCCCGAAGGGAGGACGCGUUUCCACGCCUGUCACCUACAUGUCAAGCCCAGGUAGGGUUCUUCGCGUUGCGUCGAAUUAAACCACAUGCUCCGCUGCUUGUGCGGGCCCCCGUCAAUUCCUUUGAGUUUUAGCCUUGCGGCCGUAGUCCCCAGGCGGAGCACUUAUCGCGUUAGCUGCGGCACCGGAGGGGUCGAUACCCCCGACACCUAGUGCUCAUCGUUUACGGCGUGGACUAC